UACCAGCACCCCGAGUGGUCGGGACGUUUAUUGGGCCUAAAGCAUCCGUAGCCGGUUCUACAAGUCUUCCGUUAAAUCCACCUGCUUAACAGAUGGGCUGCGGAAGAUACUAUGGAGCCAGGAGGCGGGAGAGGCAAGCGGUACUCGAUGGGUAGGGGUAAAAUCCGUUGAUCCAUUGAAGACCACCAGUGGCGAAGGCGGCUUGCCAGAACGCGCUCGACGGUGAGGGAUGAAAGCUGGGGGAGCAAACCGG
rnacentral:rRNA from 1 species